AAAAAAAGUUGAUAAGCCAUGACUUUUUCACCCUCCCUCUCUGUCCUUCUUCAUUUGCUUCUCCUUUUCUAUUCUUUUUGAAUUUAUUUUAUUUUUUAUAGAUGUUUUUUAUAUCUAUUGAGAGCACAAAGAAAUUUUUUUUUUGUGUUGUUGAUAAGUUUAAAUUAGAUUUGGGUUUGCCUUAUGAUUAUUUGUUGAGCUUUUUACCUGAAUUUCCUGCAAUUUGUUGAUAAGUUUUGUGUUUUUAUUAUUUGCUGCCUCAUGAUUUGGGCGUGGCAUAAUUCGAUUUGUUGCUAAGUUUAUUUGUUGAUAACUAUGUUGCAAAGGCAUAAUUCGAUUUGUUGCGAUUUGUUUAUAUUAUUUGUUGCCUCAUGAUUUGGGUUUUGUGUUGUUGAUAAGUUUCUGUUGAGCUUUUUUUUCUGCGAUGGAGAAAAGGAUGAAAAGUGAGGAUUUUAGGAGUGGAAAAAUAGUGCAUAUAAGUUAUUCGAUGAAAUUUUCAAGAGGGUUUGACUUGCAGAAAAGGUGAAAAGCGGAGAAAUGGACAAUAAGAGUGAUUAUUAAAGAAGACGGAGAGGAAGAAUGUUUAUUGAGUUAUAAAAAUUACUCUCUGUAUAAGUUUCAAAGUGCUUUAAAAUCAAGAAAUGGAUGUGAAGAAGAUGACAUCAACAAUGGGGUGAAGAAGAUGACAGCACGGGGAAAACAUGCAGGACUUCAGGACGACGAACAAAUGCAAUAGAACAACAUUAUGAAAAAGACACAAAAAAGGAGCCAGACUUACUUCAGGUUUGCAAGCCUUACAAAGAGAACCAAGAGAACUAGCAAGAUGAGCAGCAGAAGAAGAAGAAUCAGAGGAGCCCUUAUAAUUACUACAAUGAGAAGAACUAGAAGCAGAAGAAUGAGGAACAAUGUGAAGAAGAGUAAGAAUAUCUCCUUUAUUAGUAACAUGUGUAAGUGCCCACAUCAUAGCAUGUUUAGUAUAUGAACUUUGAUCUACAACCACCAUUACUCUCUUCCUCAUAACUAAGCCACCAUUAUACCCUCCUCCUCCUCCACACAUAUUUUUCAACCCCGCUUCCAUUUG